UACGUAGGGGGCUAGCGUUGUCCGGAAUCAUUGGGCGUAAAGCGCGUGUAGGCGGUCCGGUAAGUCCGCUGUGAAAGUCGGGGGCUCAACCCUCGAAUGCCGGUGGAUACUGUCGGGCUAGAGUGCGGAAGAGGCGAGUGGAAUUCCUGGUGUAGCGGUGAAAUGCGCAGAGAUCGGGAGGAACACCCGUAGCGAAGGCGGCACUCUGGGCCGUGACUGACGCUGAGGAGCGAAAGCGUGGGGAGCAAACAGG
rnacentral:rRNA from 1 species